AAGCAUGUUCAAAGCUUUAGGAGCUAAUGGACGUUUAUUUUCUCUUUUUGUAAUUUGUUUGUUUGAAGGUGCUUAGAGGAAAACAUAAGAAACCUCUUUUGUCAAAGCAUCUUUAGGUCUUUAGUUUAGGAGUCUUAGGGGGGUGUGCGUUUAGUAGAGAGGUGUAGAGGUAAUAGGGAGGUGCCAAAGUGAGAGAGGAAGUCACACCUUCCUCAUGCUUGGCACCACUUUCAUGUAUUUGGGGGGAAUUUUGGAUUUAAUUAGCUUUGCAUUUCAGCACCUCUAGGCUAUAAAUUAAGGUGCUGCCCUUGUAUUUUUCAGAUUGGAAAUUUGUAUUAAUGAAACUCUACUCAAUUUGAGAGAGAAUUGGAG
rnacentral:lncRNA from 1 species